GGUAGGGUGGUGUAGUGGUUUGAGUGUUGGACUUCAACUCUGGAGACCAGGGUUCAAUUCCCAGCUUGGUCA